rnacentral:hammerhead_ribozyme from 1 species
GCACUGCUGAUGAGUCCCAAAUGGGACGAAACAGCUGUUCAGUGC